CACAUUGUACAGUUCUGUUUGCAUCAGAUGGCGUAUGCAAGGCGCAGAUACAAGUCUAGUACGCUAGAAAGACGAAGCUACAAAGAUUCAAUGUCAUUCACCAUUCUCCCAAAGCCAUCCGAAAAUGUUGCAUCAACACUUAUGAAAAUAUUUACAAAAUAAAGAAAGCGAGAGCCUUAAACAUGAUCAAUAUCUUUACAAGAGAAACACUGAUAUCGACUCCAAGCAAAAUCACUACAGAUUGGGAUAUGUUCAUAACACUGAAUUAUGAGUAUAAAGGUGCAAAAGUGAUAUAAUACGUGUUACCGAAAUACGCUAUUUGGCAAGCAAGCAGUACUCUUUUUGCGGCAUAACAAAUGCUCAUCAUUUUUUCUGUGAGACAACGGGGAUCUAUAGUCUUUUACCACAUGCAGGACUUUUACAAAUAAAGCUGUCCAUUGCCAUCGUCCGUGAUUUACAGCGUUCAUCAUCUACAUUAAUCUACUGUCAAUGAUCUAGUGUGGUCUUCCGACAUCGACACUCCUAGCGAUGGCAACCAUCAUCUGCCAUCACCUAGUGCCAUCUUCAAUUACUAUUAUACGCUCUAU